AGAGUUUGAUCAUGGCUCAGAACGAACGCUGGCGGCGUGGAUAAGACAUGCAAGUCGAACGGGACUUUUUGUUGUAGCAAUACGAGGGAAAGUUCAGUGGCGAUCGGGUGCGUAACACGUGGCAAUCUGCCUUAAAGUGUGGGAUAGCUCGGCGAAAGCCGAAUNNAUCCGCAUGUGGCUACGGAGACAUCUUCGGGCGCUAAAGGUGGCCAAGCUACCGCUUUUUGAGGAGCCGCGCCUAUCUGCUUGUGGCGAGGUACGGCUCACCAAGGCGAUGACGGGUAGCUCUGAGAGGACGACCAGCCACACUGGGACUGAGACACGGCCCAGACACCUACGGGUGGCAGCAGUCGAGAAUUUUUGACAAUGGGGGAAACCCUGAUCGAGCGACGCCGCGUGGAGGAUGAAGGUCUUCGGGUUGUAAACUCCUGUCAUUUGGGAACAAGGCGUAUGUGUUAACUGUACGUGCGUUGAUAGUACCAGAAGAGGAAGAGACGGCUAACUCUGUGCCAGCAGCCGCGGUAAUACAGAGGUCUCAAGCGUUGUUCGGAUUCAUUGGGCGUAAAGGGUGUGUAGGUGGCGCGCUAAGUCGGGUGUGAAAUUUCGGAGCUUAACUCCGAAACUGCAUUCGAUACUGGCGUGCUUGAGGACUGGAGAGGAGACUGGAAUUUACGGUGUAGCAGUGAAAUGCGUAGAUAUCGUAAGGAAGACCAGUGGCGAAGGCGGGUCUCUGGACAGUUCCUGACACUGAGACACGAAGGCCAGGGGAGCAAACGGGAUUAGAUACCCCAGUAGUCC
rnacentral:rRNA from 1 species